rnacentral:rRNA from 1 species
AGCGUAGACGGAAUGGCAAGUCUGAUGUGAAAGGCCGGGGCUCAACCCCGGGACUGCAUUGGAAACUGUCAAUCUAGAGUACCGGAGGGGUAAGUGGAAUUCCUAGUGUAGCGGUGAAAUGCGUAGAUAUUAGGAGGAACACCAGUGGCGAAGGCGGCUUACUGGACGGUAACUGACGUUGAGGCUCGAAAGCGUGGGGAGCAAACG